rnacentral:rRNA from 1 species
GACGAACGCUGGCGGCGUGCCUAAUACAUGCCAGUUGAGCGCUGAAGGUUGGUACUUGUACCAACUGGAUGAGCAGCGAACGGGUGAGUAACGCGUGGGGAAUCUGCCUUUGAGCGGGGUAAACAUUUGAAAACGAAUGCUAAUACCGCAUAAAAACUCUAAACACAAGUUUUAAGUUUGAAAGAUGCAAUGUCAUCACUCAAAUCGGAUCCCGCGUUGUAUUAGCUAGUUGGUGAGGUAAAGGCUCACUAAGGCGAUGAUACAUAGCAGACCUGAGAGGGUGAGCGGCCGCACUGGGACUGAGACACGGCCCAAACUCCUACGGGAAGCAGCAGUAGGGCAUCGUCGGCAAUGGACGAAAGUCAGACCGAGCAGCGCCGCGUGAGUGAAGAAGGUUUUCGGAUCGUAAAACUCUGUUGGUAGAGAAGAACGUUGGUGAGAGUGGAAAGCUCAUCAAGUGACGGUAACUACCCAGAAAGGGACGGCUAACUACGUG